CAGCAGCCGCGGUAAUACGAAGGGGGCUAGCGUUGCUCGGAAUUACUGGGCGUAAAGGGAGCGUAGGCGGAUCGUUAAGUUGGGGGUGAAAGCCCGGGGCUCAACCUCGGAAUUGCCUUCAAUACUGGCGAUCUUGAGUAUGGAAGAGGUAUGUGGAACUCCGAGUGUAGAGGUGAAGUUCGUAGAUAUUCGGAAGAACACCAGUGGCGAAGGCGACAUACUGGUCCAUUACUGACGCUGAGGCUCGAAAGCGUGGGGAGCAAACAGGAUUAGAUACCCGCGUAGUCCCUGUCUCUUAUAA
rnacentral:rRNA from 1 species